AUGCUCAGCAUUUCAGGUGCGAUCAAGCCCUUUAUAACGACCUGGGCUCACUGAAGACCCUGAGCCUGCGUUCCCAUUGCGUUGUUGCGGGUUGAUUUGCUGCUACUGUCCCGCAGGAUGAGCUCUGCAGCUGCCCCAGAGCUCUCCUUUCCUGAACUCCCCAGGGCCUGGGUUAGUGGCACCCCUGCAGCAGGUUGCCUGUGGCUGGCACUGCAUGCCAUGCCAAGCAAAGGCCAUGCUGUGCUGCAUCAUACUGCGCCAUGCCCUGACCUGCUGUGCCGGGCCAUACAAAGUCCAUGCUGCGCCAUGACCGGAGCCUGGCUUAACUGAUGCACUCCUGUGACAGAGAGCUCCCUGACACAGGGUACUAUGGGCAAGCUACAGGUGCCCUGGUCCUGCUGAGGGGGUCCCGCUGCAUCCCCCUGCCCAGCAGGGCUGGCUCUGAGCAGGGUCUGGCUCCCCUGCUA